AUUGAACGCUGGCGGCAGGCCUAACACAUGCAAGUCGAGCGGAUGAAGGGAGCUUGCUCCUGGAUUCAGCGGCGGACGGGUGAGUAAUGCCUAGGAAUCUGCCUGGUAGUGGGGGAUAACGUCCGGAAACGGGCGCUAAUACCGCAUACGUCCUGAGGGAGAAAGUGGGGGAUCUUCGACCUCACGCUAUCAGAUGAGCCUAGGUCGGAUUAGCUAGUUGGUGGGGUAAAGGCCUACCAAGGCGACGAUCCGUAACUGGUCUGAGAGGAUGAUCAGUCACACUGGAACUGAGACACGGUCCAGACUCCUACGGGAGGCAGCAGUGGGGAAUAUUGGACAAAGGGCGAAAGCCUGAUCCAGCCAUGCCGCGUGUGUGAAGAAGGUCUUCGGAUUGUAAAGCACUUUAAGUUGGGAGGAAGGGCAGUAAGUUAAUACCUUGCUGUUUUGACGUUACCAACAGAAUAAGCACCGGCUAACUUCGUG
rnacentral:rRNA from 1 species